rnacentral:tRNA from 1 species
UCUUUUAAAGUAAAAUUUACAUUUAAUUUCGACUUAAAAAUUUUGAUUUAAUUAAAAAAAAUCUAAAAGAG